rnacentral:rRNA from 1 species
UGGGGAAUAUUGCACAAUGGGCGCAAGCCUGAUGCAGCCAUGCCGCGUGUGUGAAGAAGGCCUUCGGGUUGUAAAGCACUUUCAGCGGGGAGGAAGGCGGUGAGGUUAAUAACCUCAUCGAUUGACGUUACCCGCAGAAGAAGCACCGGCUAACUCCGUGCCAGCAGCCGCGGUAAUACGGAGGGUGCAAGCGUUAAUCGGAAUUACUGGGCGUAAAGCGCACGCAGGCGGUCUGUCAAGUCGGAUGUGAAAUCCCCGGGCUCAACCUGGGAACUGCAUUCGAAACUGGCAGGCUCGAGUCUUGUAGAGGGGGGUAGAAUUCCAGGUGUAGCGGUGAAAUGCGUAGAGCUCUGGAGGAAUACCGGUGGCGAAGGCGGCCCCCUGGACAAAGACUGACGCUCAGGUGCGAAAGCGUGGGGAGCAAACAGG